CAGCAGGCGCGAAAACUUUACACUGCGCGAAAGCGCGAUAAGGGGACCUCGAGUGCGUGCGCAAUGCGUACGCUUUUCAGAUGCCUAAAAAGCAUGUGGAAUAAGGGCCGGGCAAGACCGGUGCCAGCCGCCGCGGUAACACCGGCGGCUCAAGUGGUGGCCGCUAUUAUUGGGCUUAAAGGGUCCGUAGCCGGACCAGUUAGUCCCUUGGGAAAUCUUACGGCUUAACCGUAAGGCUGCCAAUGGAUACUGC
rnacentral:rRNA from 1 species